rnacentral:rRNA from 1 species
GAUGAACGCUGGCGGCGUGCCUAAUACAUGCCAGUCGAGCGAACGGACGAGAAGCUUGCUUUUCUGAUGUUAGCGGCGGACGGGUGAGUAACACGUGGAUAACCUACCUAUAAGACUGGGAUAACUUCGGGAAACCGGAGCUAAUACCGGAUAAUAUUUUGAACCGCAUGGUUCAAAAGUGAAAGACGGUCUUGCUGUCACUUAUAGAUGGAUCCGCGCUGCAUUAGCUAGUAGGUAAGGUAACGGCUUACCAAGGCAACGAUGCAUAGCCGACCUGAGAGGGUGAUCGGCCACACUGGAACUGAGACACGGUCCAGACUCCUACGGGAGGCAGCAGUAGGGAAUCUUCCGCAAUGGGCGAAAGCCUGACGGAGCAACGCCGCGUGAGUGAUGAAGGUCUUCGGAUCGUAAAACUCUGUUAUUAGGGAAGAACAUAUGUGUAAGUAACUGUGCACAUCUUGACGGUACCUAAUCAGAAAGCCACGGCUAACUACGUG